GUGCCUACGGGGCGCAGCAGUGGGGAAUAUUGCACAAUGGGGGAAACCCUGAUGCAGCGACGCCGCGUGGGUGAAGAAGUACUUCGGUACGUAAAGCCCUGUCAGCAGGGAAGAAAACGACGGUACCUGAUUAAGAAGCCCCGGCUAACUACGUGCCAGCAGCCGCGGAAAUACGUAGGGAGCAAGCGUUGUCCGGAUUUACUGGGUGUAAAGGGUGCGUAGGCGGCUUUGCAAGUCAG
rnacentral:rRNA from 1 species